rnacentral:rRNA from 1 species
CCUACGGGAGGCAGCAGUGAGGAAUAUUGGUCAAUGGACGAGAGUCUGACCCAGCCAAGUAGCGUGAAGGAUGACUGCCCUAUGGGUUGUAAACUUCUUUUAUAAAGGAAUAAAACGAGGCACGUGUGCCUUUUUGCAUGUACUUUAUGAAUAAGGAUCGGCUAACUCCGUGCCAGCAGCCGCGGUAAUACGGAGGAUCCGAGCGUUAUCCGGAUUUAUUGGGUUUAAAGGGAGCGUAGAUGGGUUGUUAAGUCAGUUGUGAAAGUUUGCGGCUCAACCGUAAAAUUGCAAGUGAUACUGGCAGUCUUGAGUACAGUUGAGGUAGGCAGAAUUCGUGGUGUAGCGGUGAAAUGCUUAGAUAUCACGAAGAACCCCGAUUGCGAAGGCAGCUUACUAAACUGUGACUGACAUUGAUGCUCGAAAGUGUGGGUAUCAAACAGGAUUAGAUACCCUAGUAGUC